UUUAUGGGGUGACUGCGUACCUUUUGUAUAAUGGGUCAGCGACUUAUAUUCUGUAGCAAGGUUAACCGAAUAGGGGAGCCGAAGGGAAACCGAGUCUUAACUGGGCGUUAAGUUGCAGGGUAUAGACCCGAAACCCGGUGAUCUAGCCAUGGGCAGGUUGAAGGUUGGGUAACACUAACUGGAGGACCGAACCGACUAAUGUUGAAAAAUUAGCGGAUGACUUGUGGCUGGGGGGGAAAGGCCAAUCAAACCGGGAGAUAGCUGGUUCUCCCCGAAAGCUAUUUAGGUAGCGCCUCGUGAAUUCAUCUCCGGGGGUAGAGCACUGUUUCGGCAAGGGGGUCAUCCCGACUUACCAACCCGAUGCAAACUGCGAAUACCGGAGAAUGUUAUCACGGGAGACACACGGCGGGUGCUAACGUCCGUCGUGAAGAGGGAAACAACCCAGACCGCCAGCUAAGGUCCCAAAGUCAUGGUUAAGUGGGAAACGAUGUGGGAAGGCCCAGACAGCCAGGAUGUUGGCUUAGAAGCAGCCAUCAUUUAAAGAAAGCGUAAUAGCUCACUGGUCGAGUCGGCCUGCGCGGAAGAUGUAACGGGGCUAAACCAUGCACCGAAGCUGCGGCAGCGACACUAUGUGUUGUUGGGUAGGGGAGCGUUCUGUAAGCCUGUGAAGGUGGCCUGUGAGGGUUGCUGGAGGUAUCAGAAGUGCGAAUGCUGACAUAAGUAACGAUAAAGCGGGUGAAAAGCCCGCUCGCCGGAAGACCAAGGGUUCCUGUCCAACGUUAAUCGGGGCAGGGUGAGUCGACCCCUAAGGCGAGGCCGAAAGGCGUAGUCGAUGGGAAACAGGUUAAUAUUCCUGUACUUGGUGUUACUGCGAAGGGGGGACGGAGAAGGCUAUGUUGGCCGGGCGACGGUUGUCCCGGUUUAAGCGUGUAGGCUGGUUUUCCAGGCAAAUCCGGAAAAUCAAGGCUGAGGCGUGAUGACGAGGCACUACGGUGCUGAAGCAACAAAUGCCCUGCUUCCAGGAAAAGCCUCUAAGCAUCAGGUAACAUCAAAUCGUACCCCAAACCGACACAGGUGGUCAGGUAGAGAAUACCAAGGCGCUUGAGAGAACUCGGGUGAAGGAACUAGGCAAAAUGGUGCCGUAACUUCGGGAGAAGGCACGCUGAUGCGUAGGUGAAGCGGUUUACCCGUGGAGCUGAAAUCAGUCGAAGAUACCAGCUGGCUGCAACUGUUUAUUAAAAACACAGCACUGUGCAAACACGAAAGUGGACGUAUACGGUGUGACGCCUGCCCGGUGCCGGAAGGUUAAUUGAUGGGGUCAGCCGCAAGGCGAAGCUCUUGAUCGAAGCCCCGGUAAACGGCGGCCGUAACUAUAACGGUCCUAAGGUAGCGAAAUUCCUUGUCGGGUAAGUUCCGACCUGCACGAAUGGCGUAAUGAUGGCAAGGCUGUCUCCACCCGAGACUCAGUGAAAUUGAACUCGCUGUGAAGAUGCAGUGUACCCGCGGCAAGACGGAAAGACCCCGUGAACCUUUACUAUAGCUUGACACUGAACAUUGAGCCUUGAUGUGUAGGAUAGGUGGGAGGCUUUGAAGCGUGGACGCCAGUCUGCGUGGAGCCGACCUUGAAAUACCACCCUUUAAUGUUUGAUGUUCUAACGUGGACCCGUGAUCCGGGUUGCGGACAGUGUCUGGUGGGUAGUUUGACUGGGGCGGUCUCCUCCUAAAGAGUAACGGAGGAGCACGAAGGUUGGCUAAUCCUGGUCGGACAUCAGGAGGUUAGUGCAAUGGCAUAAGCCAGCUUGACUGCGAGCGUGACGGCGCGAGCAGGUGCGAAAGCAGGUCAUAGUGAUCCGGUGGUUCUGAAUGGAAGGGCCAUCGCUCAACGGAUAAAAGGUACUCCGGGGAUAACAGGCUGAUACCGCCCAAGAGUUCAUAUCGACGGCGGUGUUUGGCACCUCGAUGUCGGCUCAUCACAUCCUGGGGCUGAAGUAGGUCCCAAGGGUAUGGCUGUUCGCCAUUUAAAGUGGUACGCGAGCUGGGUUUAGAACGUCGUGAGACAGUUCGGUCCCUAUCUGCCGUGGGCGCUGGAGAACUGAGGGGGGCUGCUCCUAGUACGAGAGGACCGGAGUGGACGCAUCACUGGUGUUCGGGUUGUCAUGCCAAUGGCACUGCCCGGUAGCUAAAUGCGGAAGAGAUAAGUGCUGAAAGCAUCUAAGCACGAAACUUGCCCCGAGAUGAGUUCUCCCUGACUCCUUGAGAGUCCUGAAGGAACGUUGAAGACGACGACGUUGAUAGGCCGGGUGUGUAAGCGCAGCGAUGCGUUGAGCUAACCGGUACUAAUGAACCGUGAGGCUUAACCUU
rnacentral:rRNA from 1 species